rnacentral:rRNA from 1 species
UACAGAGGUCUCAAGCGUUGUUCGGAUUCAUUGGGCGUAAAGGGUGCGUAGGCGGCGCGGUAAGUCGGGUGUGAAAUCCUGGAGCUUAACUUCAGAAAUGCACUGGAUACUGCUUUGCUAGAGGACUGGAGAGGAGAUUGGAAUUCACGGUGUAGCAGUGAAAUGCGUAGAUAUCGUGAGGAAGACCAGUGGCGUAAGCGAAUCUCUGGACAGUUCCUGACGCUGAGGCACGAAGGCUAGGGGAGCAAACGGG